rnacentral:rRNA from 1 species
UACGAAGGGGGCUAGCGUUGCUCGGAAUGACUGGGCGUAAAGGGCGCGUAGGCGGCUUGUAUAGUCGGAUGUGAAAUUCCUGGGCUUAACCUGGGGGCUGCAUACGAGACGUAUGGGCUUGAGUGCGGAAGAGGGUCGUGGAAUUCCCAGUGUAGAGGUGAAAUUCGUAGAUAUCGAGAGGAACACCUGCGGCGAAGGCGGGUUGCUGGGCUGACACUGACGCUGAGGCGCGAAAGCCAGGGGAGCGAACGGG